rnacentral:lncRNA from 1 species
UUUUUUUUUUUUUUUUUUUUGUCCAGUUCACUUUUUAAAUGAACUAGUUGUAACCCACUAAGUUGAUUUUGUAACCUAACUGGUUAUAGCCUGCUGUUUAGAAAACACUACGCAGAGGACCUCUUUGGUCCAACAUACUGUGACAUUCUGAGAUUCAGUUUUCUUCAUUAUGAUUUUUCUCACUCUUAAGCCAUUUUUCCACCAGUAAAACAAACUAGUUUGGGAAAGUCCUAAGAGUGGGAGGAAGAAAGGAAAAGGAUGCUAUUUUUACCACAUUCUGCUAUCUUCCUUGCUACUAAAUUUAGCAUUGUAUCGUUUAUUCCCUAUAACAUUUGCAAAUGCUCCACUUUAUGUUUCAGUUUUCUAAAAUGUAAAUUGCUCCUUGCUUUGUUUUUAUGAAAAUAUGCACUGAAAAAACACAAACUGGGUCUUUCCUAAGACUAUCUAAACUCAGUUUAUAUUUAAAAAUAAAACUCUUAUCUUUACCAAAUUCAAUUUGGUUUAUUUUAAAGAAGGAUGUGUUAAUCAUACAAGUUCUAUCGAGUCCAGCUAGGAAAAAGAAACCCAGGAAUUUACAUAGGGGAAGUCUGGUGUAAAGAAUCAUUGAUUCUGAUGGUGGGAGGUGGCUAAGAGAAACGGCAACAGCAGGCAGAAGGCACAGCCAGACCCCUGGAGGGGUGCGGCUGAGGCCUUCCGGAUGGCGGAGAACUGCACUUGAGGGCCAUGGUGGAUUGGGAAGCUGUGGGUCGCCUUUGGGGGGUGAGUGUGUGGUGCUGUUCUUGGGGGCCCACAGAGAGCUGUGGGCCCUGCUUCCUGUUCACUUCCUGUUGCACCAGCUGUCAAGGGAGAGAGUGUCCUAGUCUCUCCAGCAGGGCAGAGAAGGUUUGAAGCUGGAGGCCCUGGGUUGAGGAAUGGCGCACCAGCGUGCUUGCUAGAGCUGCCGUUUUCAAAGGGACAUUAUACUUAGGGGCAGAUUCUAUCAGGGUUGCAGUUCUAAUUUCGUGCAGUCAUGCUUUUAUUCUCUAGCAUCAUUUUUCUAUCUGAAAAAUCUACUGUUGAAUAACGCUUUUUUUGAGAAUUUACUUUUUAAAAUAAAGACUGAGUUUGUCGUUAUGUAGAAAAGGCAAGUCAGUCCCUUUGUGAUCUUUUCAGUGGGCAUGCAGUACACAGGUUUUGCAUUCACUGAGUACCUACUUUGUAAGCCAGGCCACAGAGCAGAGUGGUUUUCAGAAUACGAAAUGUUACUGCUCCUGAGGGAGGCAGGGAGAUGAUAAUCACAGUAUACGGUGAGAAGUGGUAUGGCUAUAGCGUGGGAUGGAGUGCUAGUCUGCCUGUGGGCUCUGGGGAAGGAAAAAGCACAGAUGUGUUACCUUUUAUUCUCUACAUGCUGUUUCUUUUAUUCCUCGCAGUCGUAUUCUGAAUAAGGUGGGUGGUACGAUUACCAUUAUAGACAUAAGCAGACAGGCACAGAGACCUGAAACCAUCGUCACACUCAGGAUCCACAUUUAGUCCGGUAUCUGUUAUCUCUUAAAUUGGUGAUGUACGUUGAAAUGCAGGAGGCAAUGAUAGUAAAAGUUUACCAAAUAUAGAACACAGGACUAAUAAUUUAAAAAGUGAAUUAGCUGUGUCCCUGCCCUUAAGGGGCCUGUAGUCCAGCAGUCCUGGUAGAAUGUCAUAGGGGCUCUGAUUGAGCUACUGGAGAAGCUUGGAAUUUCAUAGGGUCCAGAGUGCCUUCCUCCUCCUCGGAAAACUGAGGGUAAGAUGGCAUUUAAGCUGGUCUUCGAAAAAUGAACAGGGUUUAGACAAGUAGAAAUGGUGAAUAAUCAAAAUGUAAAGGCAGGAAAAAACAACCAGAAAGGUAGCUGUCAUUUAUUGUGCAUCUGCUAAGUGCCAUACCUUAUACCUUCCUCAGUAUAAGCCAUCCAGCUUCACUGUAGUAUAGACCAUGUGUCAGGCAGUUACUGGAAAUAAAAGAUAAGCUCAUUAGACGUGUUGGACCUAAGUAUUAGAUUGUGACAGGUUAAGGUAGAGUUUGAACUACAAACACAGUUGAAAAUACUGAAGUUUUUAAAGGAAAAAGUAUAGGACUGGAGUUACGACUAAAUUAUAAAUUAUCUACACACACACGUGUAUAUAUAUGUUCACGUUGUAAUAAGCAGCAGAGACAUCCUAGAUGUUACAUGUAAUCCUUUCCUUCUAGCUUCUCAUUCAUCUCUGCUGAAGCCCUGUGUAGGACAGAUUAGCAAGAUGGGCUGUAGGUAGACGAUUAUUACAGUGGUCCAGGUAGGAGGUAGUAAAGGCCUCAUCUAAAGCAACAGUAGUGAAAAUGAAAAGUUUAUUGGUGACAGUUGGAAUUAACAGGAUUUAGACAGGAUGUUGUAGGGGCUGAAAAAAUAAAAGGUGAAGGUAGUUUUCAGGCACUUUUCCAUCUCAGGAGUACGUACUCCAAAUGUGGGCUAUUUUUCAAUUAUUUUUAAUAUAAAAGUAAUGAUGCACAUGAGUGUAUUUAAACUUGUGGAAGGGCAGAAGAUUGGAUAUGGGGCAGGUGAAAGAUGACAUUAUACCAAGAGAAACAGGUCAAGGGAAGUACAGAGUUUAAAACUUUAUAUAGCCUACUGCUUUCUCCCCUGCUCUGUGUGUCUCUCCAUUUCUCAUAAGGACCUGUGUCACAGAAUUCACCAACCUGAAUCCAGGCUGAUCUCAUCUCAGAAUCCUUAAUUAUAUCUGCAAAGGUCCUUUUUCCAAAAUAAGGUCACAUCCACAGUUUCUAGGGGUUGGGACUUGAACAUCCCUCUUUGGGAACCACUUUUUAACCUACUGCAAUAAGCCACCAGGUGAAUACCUAAUUGCAGUCAUUGAGAAGAUUGCUGCCUUAGAUUCCAGGGGAGGAGGUGUAGAAAUCAACAGCAUGAAAACAACACUGUAGUCGUUUUAUUUAAAAGAAAAUUAUAGAUUGUGAAUAUUUUCUUCAAUUUCAGAAAACAUGUAUUUAAAAAUUUGAAGUUGAGGUCAGAUUAGUUUGGUUGGAGAUUUUGUUCCUCAGCUCUAUUUAUCUUGAAGAAUCCUCUAGCAUUUUUAUUAAAACUUAAGCAAAAUUCAAACUUUUUGUAUUUGAGCCUUAAGAUAAUUCCUUUGAAUGUUUUGUUUUUCCCAUUUUACAGAUGCGGAAAUGGAGCUUAGUUUCUGUAACUAAUUUGUCUGAGGUUACAAGAUACAAAACAAUACAGAUGUACUUGAAUGCUGGUGUUACUGUAAAGCUUGUGUUCUUUCUGAUGUACCAUGCUGAGUUUAUUAAUUUUGUAUUUUAAAAUAGAGUUUAUUUUCCAUGUUUCACAGAUUUCUCAAUUUGGGAUGUUAGCAAAAAGAAUAAAAUUUUAUUCUGUACAGCAGGGGGAAAAAAAAGAAUAGAAUUUUCCAUGUUUGCAAAAUAAGCUACUGACAUUUAAACCAACUUGCCACAUCUCUCCAUGAUCUGUGUUUGAGGUCUGUCUUUUGUAUGACUUUAAAACACAUAGUUCUUCAGCGAAUUACUUUCACUGAUGAUGAGAGGUCAUUCAUUCAUGGAACUUUUGUUACUUUCUGUUUUGAGGGCCCAGUGUUGUAGAGAACAGUAUACAGCCAUGAUUUCAGGAUGACAGUUGGACAGAACUUUAUUUGAUAGUGAGGAGUUGACCCUGGAACUUUUUAUACCUUUGCUUUUCCUACGUUUUUUAAAUUAAAGCUGUUUGUCUUAUGAUUUUAAAAAUGGAGCCAUCAUCAAUUUUUUUUUUUAAUUAAUUGUCUUGAAGUUAGUGGAAGUUGGCCUAGGACUAGGGAAAUAAACUUAGGCUAGUGUUCCUUGUGGAGAACGACUCAUUGCCUCAGUGGGAGCAUCUCUGGGGUGGGGUUUUAGGAUUCUGUUUUGUUUUUUGUUUGUUUGUUUUUGUCUUUUCUAUGGUCGAACCUGCAGCAUAUAGAAGUUCCCAGGCUAGGAGUCUAAUCGGAGCUGUAGCCGCCGGCCUAUGCCAGAGCCACAGCAACAUGGGAUCCGAGCUGCGUCUGUGACCUACAACCACAGUUCACGGCAACGCCAGAUCCUUAAGUCACUGAGUGAGGCCAGGGAUCACAAACCCGCAACCUCAUGGUUCCUAAUUGGAUUCGUUAACCACCGAGCCACAAUGGGAACGCCUGGGAUUCUAAAUUUUUAAUGAGUGUUAUUUUGUAUUUGUUUGGCAUGGAUAUAUAGUAUUCAGGUAUUUAGUUCUCACCACAACACUCCAGUCCUAGUGAGGCCAGUGUCUUGGACCCUGAAUAAAGGAAGAAGGUACAGUGACUUCAUGGUAGGAUCAUUAACGCAUUAAUUUGUAUUAAUUACAGAGCCAUCAAGUAGCUAAAGCAGUAUUGAGAAAGAAGAACAAAGCUGGAGGCACCAUGCUUCCUGAUUUCAAAAUAAAAAUCUGUCAUACUCAAAAUGGUAUGGCAUUGGUAUAGAAACACACAUAAAUGGAACACUAUAGAGAACCCAGAAAUAAACCCACACAUUUAUGGCCAGUUAAUUUAUGACAAAGGAGUCAAGAAUAUACAGUGAGGAAAGAACAGUAUCUUCGUUCAGUGGGAAAAACUGAACAGCCAGGUAGGCAAGAAUGAAAUUGGACCACUAUUUUAUACCAUACACAAAAAUCAACUCCAAAUGGACCAAAGACUUGAAUGUGAGACCUGAAACCAUAAAACUCCUAGAAGAGAACAUAGAUGGAAAGCUCCUUGACAUCAAUCUUGGUGAAGAUUUUUUUUUGGCUCUGACUACAAAAGCAAAAAUAACAAAUGGGGAGUUCCCAUCAUGGCUCAGUGGAAACAAAUCUGACUAGUAUCCAUGAGGAGGCAGAUUCAAUCCCUGGUCCUACUAGUGGGUUAAGGAUUCGGCGUUGCCAUGAGCUAUGGUGUAGGUUGCAGAAACGUCUUCCAUCCUGUGUUGCUCUGGCUAUGAUAUAGGGCACCAGCUGUAGCUCCAAUUUGACCCCCAGCCUGGGAACUUCCUUAUGUGUGGAUGCAGCCCUAAAAAGCAAAAAUAAACAGAUGGGACUCCAUCAAACUGAGUAGCUUCUGCCCUAGCAAAGAAAGCAUGCAGAGACCAGUGGUUUAUUCAGGGUUAACUAAGUAACGCUGCGCUACAGGGUACUGACAGUUCAGUCAGAAUCUCUGGGGGAUGAGGCCUGAUAGGGAUGUGGGGAUUUUCUGGUAAAGAUCAAAAACUUCUGAUGGGUAGUAAGUGGUUGGGAAUGUGAGCUACUUCCCACAGACUCGCCAGGGAAGGUGCCUGUGGUGGUGAGAAGCCAGCCAUGGGAGUCUGUCUACAUGGAGAGAGGGAAGAGGGUGAGUGAAGGCCUUGUAGGUUCCAGGUGUGGACUGAAAACAGGUGGUAGGAGAUGGAUUUGGAGAGGCCACUUUUACGUUGGCUCUGUGUCUAUUUAAUUCUGUAUUUAUAAAAAGAAUGAUGUGCUUUUACAAAAACAAAUAGGUCUUUUGUGCCGGUUCUUCUUUUCUGUGUAUGGCUUUAAACGCCAUCUUAACACCAUCUCAUGCCGAUGGUUCCAUAACGUAUACCUUUAACCUGAGCAUCUUUCCUGAGGUCUCCAUCAUAUAUCCAAUUGCUUCCUCAGCGUUACCACUGGGAUGUCUAAUAAACAUGUCAACUCCGAAUAACCAAACUGGAACUCAUGGUCUUUCCUACUCUACCUACAAUUUUCCCCAUCUCAUUGAUUCUUCCAGAUGAGGCAGAACUGUUGGAACCAUAACUCAGUGUACUUUUUCUCAGAACUCUCGGCCACACUAUGAACGAAUUCUCUUGACUCUGCUUCAGAGUGUGUACAGAAUAUAGUCACUUGUAACCACCUCCGUUGCUACUGGCUCUAAGUUCUUGUCUCAUUGGCAAAGCCUCCUUAGCUGGUCUCUGCUUCCACUCUCAUCUGCCUCUAUGUAGAGACUAUUCUUAUUGUAGCAGCUGGACUAAUUAUUUUAGAAUUUAAGUCCAAUUAUAUUACUCUUCUCCUCAGAACCCUCCAGUGAAUCUCCCAUCUUUAUCACAAGUCAUUAAAAAGUCCUGUGGGGUGUAUGUGACUAGGCCCCUGAAAGUCCUGCAACCUCAGCUCUUAGGGGCAUGACUCUCCCUUUCUUCUAAGCUUUAGCUUCAUCAGCCUCGUUGCAGCUUCUCAACACACCCCCACCUUGCAGCCUUACUACCCCUACUACACAAGGGAAUAGUUGUAAUUAUAAAUUAAACUUUGUUAUGUAUAAAAUUUAUUUUAAUAUUUAGAGGGUUUUUUCCCAAUGAAGUCCAGUAAAGGAUUUUUGAUUCCUGUUUAUGUUGAAAUUUUGGUCCCUAGUGUAUGGGUUUCAUUUUGGAGGUAUAUUUUCUUCUCCCAGAAAAUAGGAGAAACUUCCUUAAAGAAAACCUCAGAUUUGGACAGAAGUUUAGUCAUUUCUUGUGCUGAAAUAGCUAUUUUCUCUAUUCCAGAUAUUUCAGAGAGUCAUAAGUUCCAAAAGUCCAUUUAAAAAUCUAGACUCAAUUUAGAGCAUUUUUCAAAUGUAGGAAGUGUGAUAUUUUGGUAAAAGAUCUCCUUUCUGCAUAUCUGAUCAAUUGAUAGAGAUUAGAAAGAAUUUCUCGGAGUUCCCGUCAUGGCGCAGUGGUUAAUGAACCCGACUAGGAACCAUGAGGUUGCAGGUUCGAUCCCUGCCCUUGCUUAGUGGGUUGAGGAUCCGGUGCUGCCGUGAGCUGUGGUGUAGGUCGCAGAUGCGGCUCAGAUCCAGCGUUGCUGUGGCUCUGGUGUAGGCCGGCGGCUGCAGCUCCGAUUCGACCCCUAGCCUGGGAACCUCCAUAUGCUGAGGGAGUGGCCC